CCUACGGGUGGCUGCAGUGGGGAAUAUUGCACAAUGGGCGCAAGCCUGAUGCAGCCAUGCCGCGUGUGUGAAGAAGGCCUUCGGGUUGUAAAGCACUUUCAGCGGGGAGGAAGGCGUUAAGGUUAAUAACCUUGUCGAUUGACGUUACCCGCAGAAGAAGCACCGGCUAACUCCGUGCCAGCAGCCGCGGUGCUACGGAGGGUGCAAGCGUUAAUCGGAAUUACUGGGCGUAAAGCGCACGCAGGCGGUCUGUCAAGUCGGAUGUGAAAUCCCCGGGCUCAACCUGGGAACUGCAUUCGAAACUGGCGGGCUAGAGUCUUGUAGAGGGGGGUAGAAUUCCAGGUGUAGCGGUGAAAUGCGUAGAGAUCUGGAGGAAUACCGGUGGCGAAGGCGGCCCCCUGGACAAAGACUGACGCUCAGGUGCGAAAGCGUGGGGAGCAAACAGGAUUAGAUACCCUGGUAGUC
rnacentral:rRNA from 1 species